UACGAAGGGGGCUAGCGUUGUUCGGAAUUACUGGGCGUAAAGCGCGCGCAGGCGGUCUUCCAAGUCAGUGGUGAAAGCCCGGAGCUCAACCCCGGAACUGCCAUUGAAACUGUUGGACUUGAGUAUGAGAGAGGUGAGUGGAAUUCCCAGUGUAGAGGUGAAAUUCGUAGAUAUUGGGAAGAACACCGGUGGCGAAGGCGGCUCACUGGCUCAUUACUGACGCUCAGGCGCGACAGCGUGGGGAUCAAACAGG
rnacentral:rRNA from 1 species